GUUAACCUGGGUUAAACGGAAGAAGCGGAAAGUGACGGUACCUGUCCCAAGAAGCGCCGGUAACUACGUGCCAGCAGCCGCGGUAAUACGUAGGGCGCAAGCGUUGCCGGAAUUAUUGGGCGUAAAGAGCUCGUAGGCGGCUUGUCACGUCGGUUGUGAAAGCCCGGGGCUUAACCCCGGGUCUGCAGUCGAUAGGGGCAGGCUAGAGUUCGGUAGGGGAGAUCGGAAUUCCUGGUGUAGCGGAGAAAUGAGCAGAUAUCAGGAGGAACACCGGUGGCGAAGGCGGGAUCUCUGGGCGGAAUACUGAACGCUGAGGAGCGAAAGCGUGGGGAGCGAACAGGAUUAGAUACCCUGGUAGUCACGCCGUAAACGGUGGGCACUAGGUGUGGGCAACAUUCCACGUUGUCCGUGCCGCAGCUAACGCAUUAAGUGCCCCGCCUGGGGAGUACCCGCAAGGCUAAAACUCAAAGGAAUUGACGGGGGCCCGCACAAGCGGCGGAGCAUGUGGCUUAAUUCGACGCAACGCGAAGAACCUUACCAAGGCUUGACAUACACCGGAAACGUCUGGAGACAGGCGCCCCCUUGUGGUCGGUGUAC
rnacentral:rRNA from 1 species